UUUGGGUCCUUGAAUUUUGGCUUAGAAGUUCAGAGUCUGGGACAGGAAAAGGGGAUCCAUUUCUUCAGCAAAGAAAUCUGUGUUUGUUCACUGUGAUCAAAUGAUAUAUUUUCAAGCCCCGCCCAACACUGACUGGCGUUUCUCUCAAGCCCAGAGGCCCGGCACGAGCGGAUCCCAAAAUGGUGAUGAAACUGGCACCUGGCCCAACAACCAGUUUGAUACAGAGAUGCUGCAAGCCAUGAUCUUGGCUUCUGCCAGCGAAGCCGCCGAUGGGAGCUCUACCCUGGGAGGGGGCGCUGGCACCAUGGGUCUGAGCGCUCGAUACGGACCCCAGUUUACCCUGCAGCACGUGCCUGACUACCGCCAGAACGUGUACAUCCCUGGCAGCAAUGCCACGCUGACCAAUGCCGCCGGCAAACGAGAUGGCAAGGCUCCUGCGGGUGGUAACGGCAACAAGAAGAAGUCGGGCAAGAAAGAGAAGAAGUAAUAUGGAGGCCAGGCCUUGAGCCACAAGGCAGCCUCCCUCCCCAGCCAGUCCAGCUCCUCCUUACUUGUACCCAGGCCUCAGAAUUUCAGGGCUCACCCCAGGAUACUGGUAGGAGCCAUGGCCAUGCUCCCCGUUGGGAAACAGAAACAAGUGCCCAAGCCAACACCCCUCUCUAUACCCUAGGGGGUUGAAUAUGCAAAGAGAGUUCUGCUGGGACCCCCCUAGCCAAUCAGUGAUUGUACCCACAUGG
ensembl:processed_transcript Gm38182 predicted gene, 38182